rfam:Gossypium raimondii Chr08_contig_29, whole genome shotgun sequence.
AGCCCAUGAUAAGUGCACAUUCUCAAAAGAUCCUUAAAUCUCUCUCAUGCAUCAUACUAUUUCUCAAGCACAAAUUGAGCAAAAAAAAAGAUGUCAUUCCUCAACUU